rnacentral:rRNA from 1 species
UACGUAGGGGGCAAGCGUUGUCCGGAAUCAUUGGGCGUAAAGAGCGUGUAGGCGGCCAGACAGGUCCGUUGUGAAAACUGGAGGCUCAACCUCCAGCUGUCGAUGGAAACCGUUUGGCUAGAGUCCGGAAGAGGAGAGUGGAAUUCCCGGUGUAGCGGUGAAAUGCGCAGAUAUCGGGAAGAACACCCGUGGCGAAGGCGGCUCUCUGGGACGGUACUGACGCUGAGACGCGAAAGCGUGGGGAGCGAACAGG